UGUUAAGGUGAUCUAUCUUUAAGUGGGGAUAGAUUACUCUAAAAGAAAUGAAUCCGAGAUUGUUUUCCUGUCAAGUCAAGCAUCUUGU
rnacentral:pre_miRNA from 1 species